GAAAUGCGAUACGUAAUGCGAAUUGCAGAAUUCAGUGAAUCAUCGAAUCUUUGAACGCAAAUUGCGCUCUCGGGUUACCCCCAAGAGCACACCUCUCUGAGUGUCGGUUUAACCUCAUGUCACCAAUUUAUUGGUGUACGACAGACUGAGGGUAAGGGGCCUUGGCUUCUUUCCCUUUAAAUUUCAGCCGCACGACUGUGUGUGUUCGUGGCAAGUUGCUUUCACUUAACUGUGAAUUCAAUCCACUGACCCUAUGUCGAGUAGCCAAAGAAACAUAUGAAAUGAAGAGGCAAGCUUGAAGCAUGGCAACAUGUUUUGGGUGAGCACCUUUGUAUCAUCUAUGAAUUAGACCUCAGAUGAAGUGGGAAGACCCCCUGAAUUUAA
rnacentral:misc_RNA from 1 species